GAUAAACGCUGGCGGCGUGCCUAAUACAUGCAAGUCGAGCGAACAGACGAGGAGCUUGCUCCUCUGAUGUUAGCGGCGGACGGGUGAGUAACACGUGGAUAACCUACCUAUAAGACUGGGAUAACUUCGGGAAACCGGAGCUAAUACCGGAUAACAUGUUGAACCGCAUGGUUCAACAGUGAAAGACGGUCUUGCUGUCACUUAUAGAUGGAUCCGCGCCGCAUUAGCUAGUUGGUAAGGUAACGGCUUACCAAGGCAACGAUGCGUAGCCGACCUGAGAGGGUGAUCGGCCACACUGGAACUGAGACACGGUCCAGACUCCUACGGGAGGCAGCAGUAGGGAAUCUUCCGCAAUGGGCGAAAGCCUGACGGAGCAACGCCGCGUGAGUGAAGAAGGUCUUCGGAUCGUAAAACUCUGUUAUUAGGGAAGAACAAAUGUGUAAGUAACUAUGCACGUCCUGACGGUACCUAAUCAGAAAGCCACGGCUAACUACGUG
rnacentral:rRNA from 1 species